rnacentral:rRNA from 1 species
CCUACGGGAGGCAGCAGUGGGGAAUAUUGCACAAUGGGGGAAACCCUGAUGCAGCGACGCCGCGUGAGCGAAGAAGUAUUUCGGUAUGUAAAGCUCUAUCAGCAGGGAAGAAAAUGACGGUACCUGACUAAGAAUCCCCGGCUAACUACGUGCCAGCAGCCGCGGGAAUACGUAGGGGGCAAGCGUUAUCCGGAUUUACUGGGUGUAAAGGGAGCGGAGACGGUGAAGCAAGCCAGAUGUGAAAGCCCGGGGCUCAACCCCGGGACUGCAUUUGGAACUGUGUGGCUGGAGUGUCGGAGAGGCAGGCGGAACUCCUAGUGUAGCGGUGAAAUGCGUAGAUAUUAGGAGGAACACCAGUGGCGAAGGCGGCCUGCUGGACUGUGACUGACGUUGAGGCUCGAAAGCGUGGGGAGCAAACAGGAUUAGAUACCCUAGUAGUC